rnacentral:rRNA from 1 species
UCCUACGGGAGGCAGCAGUGGGGAAUAUUGGACAAUGGGGGCAACCCUGAUCCAGCAAUUCUGUGUGCACGAAGAAGGUUUUCGGAUUGUAAAGUGCUUUCAGCAGGGAAGAAGAAAGUGACGGUACCUGCAGAAGAAGCGACGGCUAAAUACGUGCCAGCAGCCGCGGUAAUACGUAUGUCGCAAGCGUUAUCCGGAAUUAUUGGGCAUAAAGGGCAUCUAGGCGGCCAGACAAGUCUGGGGUGAAAACUUGCGGCUCAACCGCAAGCCUGCCCUGGAAACUGUUUGGCUAGAGUGCUGGAGAGGUGGACGGAACUGCACGAGUAGAGGUGAAAUUCGUAGAUAUGUGCAGGAAUGCCGAUGAUGAAGAUAGUUCACUGGACGGUAACUGACGCUGAAGUGCGAAAGCUGGGGGAGCGAACAGGAUUAGAUACCCUGGUAGUCCCAGCCGUAAACGAUGAUUACUGGGUGUGGGCAUGAAGAGUGUCCGUGCCGAAGCUAAUGCGAUAAGUAAUCCGCCUGGGGAGUACGGCCGCAAGGCUGACACUCAAAGGAAUUGACGGGGGCCCGCACAAG